rnacentral:rRNA from 1 species
UACGUAGGUCGCAAGCGUUGAUCCGGAUUUACUGGGCGUAAAGAGCGCGCAGGCGGCUGGUCAAGUCCGAUGUGAAAAUCUCCCGGCUCAACUGGGAAACUGCAUCGGAAACUAGACUUCGGCUUGAAGGUGGGAGAGGGUAGUGGAAUUCCGGUGUAGUGGUGAAAUGCGUAGAUAUCUGGAGGAACACCGGUGGCGAAAGCGGCUCUCGUGGUCCGGACCUGACGCUGAGGCGCGAAAGCGUGGGGAGCAAACAGG